rnacentral:rRNA from 1 species
GACGAACGCUGGCGGCGUGCUUAACACAUGCAAGUCGAACGGUGAAGCGCCUUCCUUUUUGGUGGGUGUGGAUGAGUGGCGAACGGUUGAGUAACACGUGAGUAACCUGCCCCCUUCUUCUGGAUAACCGCAUGAAAGUGUGUCUAAUACGGGAUAUUCUGGUUCUGUCGCAUGAUUGGUCUGGGAAAGAUAUUGUUUCGGUGGGGGAUGGGCUCGCGGCCGAUCAGCUUGUUGGUGGUGUGAUGGCCUACCAAGGCGGUGACUGGUAGCCGGCCUGAGAGGGUGGACGGUCACACUGGGACUGAGACACGGCCCAGACUCCUACGGGAGGCAGCAGUGGGGAAUAUGGCACAAUGGGCGCAAGCCUGAUGCAGCGACGCCGCGUGAGGGAUGGAGGCCUUCGGGUUGUGAACCUCUUUCGCCAGUGAAGCAGGCCUGCCUCGUUUGUGGGUGGGUUGACGGUAGCUGGAUAAGAAGCGCCGGCUAACUACGUG